GAUGAACGCUGGCGGCGUGCCUAAUACAUGCAAGUCGAGCGAACGGACGAUAAGCUUUCUUCUCUGAUGUUAGCGGCGGACGGGUGAGUAAGACGUGGAUAACCUACCUAUAAUACUGGGAUAACUUCGGGAAACCGUAGCUAAUACCGGAUAAUAUUUUGAACCGCAUGGUUCAAAAGUGAAAGACGGUCUUGCUGUCACUUAUAGAUGGAUCCGCGCUGCAUUAGCUAGUUGGUAAGGUAACGGCUUACCAGGGCAACGAUGCAUAGCCGACCUGAGAGGGUGAUCGGCCACACUGGAACUGAGACACGGUCCAGACUCCUACGGGAGGCAGCAGUAGGGAAUAUUCCGCAAUGGGCGAAAGCCUGACGGAGCAACGCCGCGUGAGUGAUGAAGGUCUUCGGAUCGUAAAACUCUGUUAUUAGGGAAGAAAAUAUGUGUAAGUAACUGUGCACAUCUUGACGGUACCUAAUCAGAAAGCCACGGCUAACUACGUG
rnacentral:rRNA from 1 species